GUCGACGAACCCUUCGGGGUUAGUGGCGCACGGGUGCGUAACGCGUGGGAAUCUGCCCUUUGCUUCGGAAUAACAGUUAGAAAUGACUGCUAAUACCGGAUGAUGACUUCGGUCCAAAGAUUUAUCGGCAAAGGAUGAGCCCGCGUAGGAUUAGGUAGUUGGUGGGGUAAAGGCCUACCAAGCCGACGAUCCUUAGCUGGUCUGAGAGGAUGAUCAGCCACACUGGGACUGAGACACGGCCCAGACUCCUACGGGAGGCAGCAGUGGGGAAUAUUGGACAAUGGGGGCAACCCUGAUCCAGCAAUGCCGCGUGAGUGAUGAAGGCCUUCGGGUCGUAAAGCUCUUUUACCAGGGAUGAUAAUGACAGUACCUGGAGAAUAAGCUCCGGCUAACUCCGUGCCAGCAGCCGCGGUAAUACGGAGGGAGCUAGCGUUGUUCGGAAUUACUGGGCGUAAAGCGCACGUAGGCGGUUACUCAAGUCAGAGGUGAAAGCCCGGGGCUCAACCCCGGAACUGCCUUUGAAACUAGGUGACUGGAAUCUUGGAGAGGCGAGUGGAAUUCCGAGUGUAGAGGUGAAAUUCGUAGAUAUUCGGAAGAACACCAGUGGCGAAGGCGACUCGCUGGACAAGUAUUGACGCUGAGGUGCGAAAGCGUGUGGAGCAAACAGGAUUAGAUACCCUGGUAGUCCACGCCGUAAACGAUGAUAACUAGCUGUCCGGCCACUUGGUGUUUGGGUGGCGCAGCUAACGCAUUAAGUUAUCCGCCUGGGGAGUACGGUCGCAAGAUUAA
rnacentral:rRNA from 1 species